rnacentral:rRNA from 1 species
CGUGUAGGUGGUUUGGUAAGUCGGAUGUGAAAUCCUAAGGCUCAACCUUGGAACUGCAUUCGAAACUUCCAGACUAGAGUCCAGGAGAGGAAAGUGGAAUUUCCAGUGUAGGAGUGAAAUCCGUAGAUAUUGGAAGGAACACCAGUAGCGAAAGCGACUUUCUGGCCUGGUACUGACACUCAGACGCGAAAGCGUGGGGAGCAAACA